ACGGAUGGAUGCACCCGUGCUAUUUGAGCUGCGUCAGAGUGACGUGAAGGUUACAUGUUACCGGGAGAGCUCAAUGUAGGCAUGUUGGUGAACAAGGUAGUUGCAUAGUUAAAUGGUCAGACUUCAAUCUCCAGAAAAUGUGCGGACGGUAGAGAGAACAAUACAUUCGUAUCUGUGUGGGCAUAUUGUGAUUCUAUGAAACCAACAGUGACAGCACAGAACCUUAUGAUGUGAUAAACCAUGGAGUACAACACAUUGUCCCACAACCGGGAACCGUCCAAUGACAGCGGGCUCCCUAAAAACAGUCUAAGCAGUGAUGCUAGAGAAGAAGACCAAACAUAUGUGAAAAAUGCUUUUCCUGGAAACCCACCUUCGCCCAUGCUAGGUUCAUACUCUCCUAAAUCCGAACCUGCUUUAGCACCAUCGGAAAUGAAUUAUAAUGAGGUAAAAUUGGACGUAAACACUUCUCAAUACUUUUCCGGUCAGAAAGUGCCCCCUAGGACGGCUGAACCAAAUUAUGUCACGCUUCAUCCAAAACCUGACAAUCCUGUUAAUAUGGACAUUGGCGACGUUAUCAAGCAAGCAAUUGCAGCAGGUCAGGAAAAGAACCCGAAUUCUUCAGUUGUUAUACACAUAGGAAAUGUAACAAUUAACAACGCCCCUGAUCCUACUUAUUACGGGCACGUGACCCGACCCCCUCCUGAACCCUGUCUGCCCCAUCAAUACCACGACGUAGGACAGCCAGGAGAUGAUCAUCUCCGUCGGAAAAGUUUAUCAACAUCAGAAGAAGAAAUGUACAUUGGUAUUCCUGGUAAUAGAACACCGGUGGAACACAGCGGGACAGAGCAGCCGUCCUUGAUAGUUGACGACCAUAUCGACCCCUAUAGAGAAACACAAAACUUCUUAAUCCAAUCCAGACCCAACUCCACAAGAUCACAGCACACACAAUCCUCCCCUCAGACGGAACAAAGGGAUGCAGAGCCCGUCAAACCACAUGGCCCGGAGGGAAACCCUACCCAAAUGACGAUACACCCCCGACAUUCCCCAGACGGUUCUCUCGAGAAGUUUGAUGUCCAGCUGGUCAGGCAGGGUUCGAAUCAACGUUGGACAUGCGAAUUGAAGCCCUCACAAACUUCAAAGUCUCACUCAAGAUCACCAUCCAUCGACACAUUAGAUACCGAUGUUACGUACGACAGUCAUAGACAAGCACGUGACAGAAAUCGUCCUACAGUGCCGUUAACCUUAGAGAGCGCGGGAACCCUCCAACCAACAGAACGGUGGCCGAAUACAGAUCCCAGCUACAAGACGACCUUUAACGAGGAUAGGAGGUUGCCUUACUGUGGCGACGACAACACAUUGGUGAAGGAGAUAUCGUCACCGGUGGGGGAGGAACUCUGCAGACAUAUCGGACAAAGGGUAACAUAUGUAGAAAACCCUGUCUACAUGGCCGACCAACCCUUCAGGUCAACAAAUAACCUGACGUCAUCUGUCAACACGCAGAAUAUGUUAGGAUACAGUGGUGAAAUGGAACCGUCCCGGCCAGGCGUACACAUGAAUACAGUUGUAGGUAGAUCAAUGUCCCAGUCAGCACCAGACAUCAGACAAGUCACCCCCUUCCCACCACAGACAACACGUCGACCCACAGUUUUCCCGAAUAAGCUGAAGACAAGGGGCCAUGCAUGUGUGGUACAUGGUUACUUCAACAUUCACGACGAGAAAGCUAUAGAAGACGCCAAGAAGAGGCUGGAGACUGAUGGGGAGGACGGAAACUGGCUGGUGACGUUAGCAAUAAGACAGCCAAUGCACUCCAUUUGUCUCCACGUUCGGCUACAAAACAAGACCAACUCAUUUCCCAUCAACAACCUCAAAGGCGAAAGGAUCAGCAUCGAUACGACAAACAAAAAGUCGUUUAAGUGUCUCUGUAAGCUGAUCAACUAUUACACAGUGAAGAAAACCUUACCUAACCAGAAAGUCAAGCUGGCUAAGGCUUUUCAACUACAGCAGCGAGGGAGUGGAGUGUAUGACUCCUGUACCGAAGUGUCACAUCUCUGACCACCCAUGUAAUGAAGUGUCACAUCUCUGAUCACUCCUGUACCGAAGUGUCAGAUCUCUGAUCACCCCUGUACCGAAGUGUCACAUAUCUGAUCACUCCUGUACCGAAGUGUCACAUCUCUGAUCACUCCUGUACCGAAGUGUCACAUCUCUGACCACUCCUGUACCGAAGUGUUACAUCUCUGAUCACUCCUGUACCGAAGUGUCACAUCUUUGAUCACUUCUGUACCGAAGUGUCACAUCUCUGAUCACUCCUGUACCGAAGUGUCACAUCUCUGAUCACUCCUGUACAGAAGUGUCACAUCUCUGAUCAAUCCUGUACCGAAGUGUCACGUCUCUGAUCACUCCUGUACCGAAGUGUCACAUCUCUGAGCACUCCUGUACCGAAGUGUCACAUCUCUGAUCACUCCUGUACCGAAGUGUCACAUCCCUGAUCACUGCUGUACAGAAGUGUCACAUCUCUGAUCACUCCUGUACCGAAGUGUCACAUCUCUGAUCACUCCUGUACCGAAGUGUCACAUCUCUGAUCACUGCUGUACAGAAGUGUCACGUCUCUGAUCACUCCUGUGUGACGCGUGCCUCUCAGAGCGGCAUGUUUUCAGUUUUCUGUUAUCAAAUGAGACUAUGAAAACUUCAAAAAUAUUUCCUUCCUUUUUUUUUGAUAAUCUAUUUUCUUAGAAUUUUAAAACAUUUUUUGGGAAUUUUGCCAAAAGCUAUGAGAGAUUUACAGUGAAACCUGUUUAAUUCGACCUUACGGGAGAUUGAUUGACAUAAUGAUCAGAUAUGAGAGGAUGCCAGAAUACACAGGUAUUAAUUGUCAGUUUUAAUGUUAAAUAGGAUUACAGGCUUACAUGAGAUCAGACAGGCGGUCAGGCUACUCAAGGAUGUAUUAGAAAACAUUAGAUGGUGUGUUGUAAUACCUAGAGGUCGUACUAGACAGGGUGUCAGAAUAACCAGGGUAUGUUUUGUGCAGUGUCAGGUUAGACAGGUUUCAUUGUAUUGUUACUACAAACUCGUAAGAGUUGGGCGAGUGGAUACAGCUUUGUAAAAUAGUUUACUUCUCCCGUGGGAGUUAGAGGUUAUUGAGUACAGGGAGACAAUCAAAUCUCCCGUGGGAGUUAGAGGUUAUUGAGUGCAGGGAGACAAUCAAAUCUCCCGUGGGAGUUAGAGGUUAUUGAGUACAGGGAGACAAUCAAAUCUCCCGUGGGAGUUAGAGGUUAUUGAGUACAGGGAGACAAUCAAAUGUUUAUUAUCGAUACAUCCGAACAUACAGGAGGCACACGAAUCUUAACGCUAUAUGGUAUGAAUUGACACUGUAUAUAUGAUUUUGUUAUACAGCCGUUAUUUCAACAAGGCUACCCAAAUUCGAUCCCCUGUAUGGGACACAUGUCCGAUCACGUGGGAUUUCUCCGGGUUGUAGGGUAACCCUGUUUUCUCCCACAUCCAUGUUGAUACUUAGGCUAUUUAGAAACCAAAUUAUGCUGUGCCAACAUCCUUACACUCCCCCAUUGUUUUGUAAAAUUUCAUGAAUAUUAUUUGUAUAUUGCGUGUCAUAAAUUUCACAAACUGCCUUUUUUGUAAUCAUUCACGAGGAUAAUUCGCACUUCAUAUCUUAGGUUUAAUCUUUAAAAAUAUGUCUACGUGUACCUGAAUUUUACAUUAACGCAAAUAUUCACAAUUACUUGUACAGCAUUAAAGACUAACAGGUAGGUCUCCUCUAUCAAGGGAAUUGGGGGUUGGCUGUAAAAAGGAAAUUGUAAUGAUAUAUGUGUGUUUACACAGGCUGUUAAUAGGUAAUAGGGAAAGAAAGCGUAGCUUAUUUUCAUGUAUUUAACCUUUGCGUAUGAUAUCCGUCCGCCAAACUGUUUCAUGAUCUAUACAACGGAGAAAUAACGUUUGACUUGAGCGAGUGUUCUUGGUUACUCCGUGUCAGAUCUCGACAUAGCGUCAUGUAUAUGAUGUUAAAUCCAUUGUCUGCAUCAAGUUUAGUGUAAUUUGUUUAUCAAAUAAAGAUAAAGAGCUUUGCUGGAUUCAACACUUUUCCUUAAAUAAGUAAAUAUACCGGAAGCUUUUUGUUUGACAGUACUUACACUUGCCUAUUAAUCUACAAAUCGCUUGUUUUAUUUUAUUCAUUAUGUUCCCUCUUCGCCAAUUUCAGCAACACUUCCAUAUCUCAGCAAGUUCUUUGUUUUCAUUUCAGCCCCCCCCCCCCCCAACCCCAUCCCAAAUGACAUUUUCAUGCCAUUUCGUACCUGUACAGCCCUAUUUCACCAACAUUUUAAUUAAUAAAAAAGCAAUUAACUGAUUUUAUCAAAACACUUUUUGAUACAUUUUUAAUGUGCCAGUAUCUUUACUAAUUUUAUCAUGAUAUGAGUGUGUACAUUAUACAAUGUAACGCGUUUUACACAUAUUACAUGUUUGUUGCUCAAUCUUUGGCUUUGGCACCUUUCGUGUACUUGAAUACUAGACCGAAAAUUUUAGUAUCUAAAACUGUUAUUACUUAUAAAAUAUUCACGUUUAAGGUCACUUUUAUUUAUUUAUUUAUGAAUUACACUUUUGUGUUAAAAUAAGUUUCUCUUUGAAACGGGGAUAAUUAAUUUAUUAUACAGGUUUUGUGAUAUUUUAGAAGCUGAAAUGUUCGGUCCAGUAAAGGCUGCUGUCACCACAGGGACCAGGUUUAGGACACACUAUGUUUGUUGAGAGAGUUACUAAUGUUUAGAAAGAAUUGGACGUUGUAAAAAAAACCACCUCAAUGAUGGUGUCAAAUCAUGUCCCUGCUAUCAAAAUAUAUUAACGCAUCAUGUUUUCCCGGUUGAUUUGUUACGAAAAGAGGUAUGAUACAAUUAAUUUGUUGUCAGUUGUAAACCGUGACUGUGGUAGCUAGUUGUCGGUCUAGGCUACUUCUGAACAUAUUUGAGGUCAGUAGACAACCAAAUAUGAUAUGGCAGCUUGUAUGUAUUCUUAUAAACGUUGUAUAAGCACUACAACAAAAUAAAGGCUUCCGUAUAUCCUUAA
rnacentral:misc_RNA from 1 species